CACAAUUGAAAGAAAAAGAGUGGGAAGGAAAUUAUCUAGUCCUCUCACUCCACCUCUCAUCCUGCUGGGAAAACAAUGGGAACAUCCCUUCUCUCACCUCCCAUCCCACUCUCUCACUUCCCUCACACCGCCACCGCCACCGCCACCAAGACAUGGCCGCAAUUCCAUCCCUCUACAACAACUCUCAUCAAAACCUCCUCCCCAUCUUCUAAAUCUCUCACCCUUCUCUCUUCAACUUCCUCACCUUCCUCAGUUGCAGAAGAUGAUGAUUCUCUUGCUUCCCCAUCACAGCCCCCCACUCAACAGUUUCCCCUCAGUGGCUGUAAGUCCUGUGGGAGAGAGGAGGUGGAGAAGGGAUGCAAUGGGGAGGGAAGGAUUCAAGGUGGAAUUGCAACAUUUCCAGGCUUUGGUUGGUGGCCUAUAAAAGCUUACAGGCCCUGUCCUGGUUUUGUGGAAUCUGGCGGCCGCUAUAGGCGACAAGGGCAAAGCUUGGAUGAGGUUGCCUUCGGAAGAGGGGGAAGACGAGACUAGCAUUAAGCAAGACUAAAGAAGGUCCAAGGACAGAAGAGGUAACUGCAUCUCGGUAGAGCCUUGACGGCGUAUAGUAGUUGAUAACAAGUGUGAAGUCGAAUAGCCGAUGCCCAAUUGGAGGGUUUUAAUGUGAACCAUCUGGUAUAUAUUUACCACAUUGAAUUGAAAAAUGGAUGUGUGUUAUAUUUUCCUAUACAGUUCAGAUUCUUGUAGUCAUAGAUUGAUGCCGUGGUAAGUGUCAUCGGAAAGUCCCUCUUUCCGGUGUCGUAUCUUCUAUCUUCUAUGUCAGCAACUCAAAGUUUCUGUUUCCUAACUAGAAUCAUCAGCUUAGGUACUCACUUUGUUGCUCCCCGUCUUCUUAUUUACAACACCGGGGUUCAUUUCCAGAUGAUAAUCGUUGGAGCCGAUUGGUAAUGAAGUCAAGUGUUGCUUGCUA